UACGUAGGGGGCAAGCGUUGUCCGGAUUUAUUGGGCGUAAAGAGCGUGUAGGCGGCCAGACAGGUCUGCUGUGAAAACUCGAGGCUCAACCUCGAGACGCCGAUGGAAACCCUCAGACUAGAGUCCGGAAGAGGAGAGUGGAAUUCCUGGUGUAGCGGUGAAAUGCGCAGAUAUCAGGAAGAACACCCGUGGCUAAGGCGGCUCUCUAGUACGUGACUGACGCUGAGACGCGAAAGCGUGGGGAGCGAACAGG
rnacentral:rRNA from 1 species